rnacentral:rRNA from 1 species
AGUGGCGGACUGGUGAGUAACGCGUGAGAAUCUGCCUUGGGGUCGGGGACAACCACUGGAAACGGUGGCUAAUACCGGAUACGCCUUCGGGUAAAAGAUUUAUUGCCCUAAGAGGAGCUCGCGUCUGAUUAGCUAGUUGGUGAGGUAAGAGCUCACCAAGGCAGCGAUCAGUAGCUGGUCUGAGAGGACGAUCAGCCACACUGGGACUGAGACACGGCCCAGACUCCUACGGGAGGCAGCAGUGGGGAAUUUUCCGCAAUGGGCGAAAGCCUGACGGAGCAAGACCGCGUGAGGGAGGAAGGCUCUUGGGUUGUAAACCUCUUUUCUCAGGGAAGAAGCUCUGACGGUACCUGAGGAAUCAGCCUCGGCUAACUCCGUGCCAGCAGCCGCGGUAAUACGGAGGAGGCAAGCGUUAUCCGGAAUUAUUGGGCGUAAAGCGUCCGCAGGUGGCGAUUCAAGUCUGCUGUCAAAGCACGGGGCUUAACUCCGUAAAGGCAGUGGAAACUGAAUAGCUAGAGUGCCGUAGGGGUAGAGGGAAUUCCCGGUGUAGCGGUGAAAUGCGUAGAGAUCGGGAAGAACAUCGGUGGCGAAAGCGCUCUACUGGACGGCAACUGACACUCAGGGACGAAAGCUAGGGGAGCGAAUGGGAUUAGAUACCCC